UAGGGAAUCUUCCACAAUGGACGAAAGUCUGAUGGAGCAACGCCGCGUGAGUGAAGAAGGGUUUCGGCUCGUAAACUCUGUUGUUAAAGAAGAACAUAUCUGAGAGUAACUGUUCAGGUAUUGACGGUUAUUUAACCAGAAAGCCACGGCUAACUACGUGCCAG
rnacentral:rRNA from 1 species